rnacentral:rRNA from 1 species
ACCAGCUGCUAUAUCACCCUGCAACCCACAACCGGCAACCUAUUGAAAGUCAGCAGGUGUGAGCCUGGCCAGUACCUGGAUGGGAGACCUCCUGGGAAAGUUAAAGUUACUGCUGGUA